AGUCUGAGGCGAAGCUUCGGAGCGGCCGGUACUGUUGAAAGCGACAAGUGGAGGCGCCGCUCUAGCGGCCGGGACUCUGAACUAUGGCGGCUAGUGAUACAGAGCGAGAUGGACUAGCCCCAGAAAAGACAUCACCAGAUAGAGAUAAGAAAAAAGAGCAGUCAGAAGUAUCUGUUUCUCCUAGAGCUUCAAAACAUCAUUAUUCAAGAUCACGAUCAAGGUCAAGAGAAAGAAAACGAAAGUCAGAUAAUGAAGGAAGAAAACACAGGAGCCGGAGCAGAAGCAAAGAGCGUGCUUAUGCGCGAAGAGACUGAACUGAAGACGCUGCAGACUCAGAUAGCAAAAUAAUAAGCCUACUUCAUGAUAAGAACCAACUUCUUCUUAAAACAGGGAAGAAGACAUGAAUCCAAAGAUAAAUCCUCUAAGAAACAUAAGUCUGAGGAACAUAAUGACAAAGAACAUUCUUCUGAUAAAGGAAGAGAGCGACUAAAUUCAUCUGAAAAUGGUGAGGACAGGCACAAACGCAAAGAAAGAAAGUCAUCAAGAGGCAGAAGUCACUCAAGAUCUAGGUCUCGUGAAAGACGCCAUCGUAGUAGAAGCAGGGAGCGGAAGAAGUCUCGAUCCAGGAGUAGGGAGCGGAAGAAAUCGAGAUCCAGAAGCAGAGAGAGGAAGAAAUCGAGAUCCAGAAGCAGGGAAAGAAAACGGCGGAUCAGGUCUCGUUCCCGCUCAAGAUCAAGACACAGGCAUAGGACUAGAAGCAGGAGUAGGACAAGGAGUAGGAGUCGAGAUAGAAAGAAGAGAAUUGAAAAGCCGAGAAGAUUUAGCAGAAGUUUAAGCCGGACUCCAAGUCCACCUCCCUUCAGAGGCAGAAACACAGCAAUGGAUGCACAGGAAGCUUUAGCUAGAAGGUUGGAAAGGGCAAAGAAAUUACAAGAACAGCGAGAAAAGGAAAUGGUUGAAAAACAAAAACAACAAGAAAUAGCUGCAGCUGCAGCUACUGGAGGUUCUGUUCUCAAUGUUGCUGCCCUGUUGGCAUCAGGAACACAAGUAACACCUCAGAUAGCCAUGGCAGCUCAGAUGGCAGCCCUGCAAGCUAAAGCUUUGGCAGAGACAGGAAUAGCUGUUCCUAGCUACUAUAACCCAGCCGCUGUUAAUCCAAUGAAAUUUGCUGAACAAGAGAAAAAAAGGAAAAUGCUUUGGCAGGGCAAGAAAGAAGGGGACAAAUCCCAAUCUGCUGAAAUAUGGGAAAAAUUGAAUUUUGGAAACAAGGACCAAAAUGUCAAAUUUAGGAAAUUGAUGGGUAUUAAGAGUGAAGAUGAAGCUGGAUGUAGCUCAGUUGAUGAAGAAAGUUACAAGACUCUGAAGCAGCAGGAAGAAGUAUUUCGAAAUUUAGAUGCUCAGUAUGAAAUGGCAAGAUCACAAACCCACACACAAAGAGGAAUGGGUUUGGGUUUCACAUCUUCAAUGCGAGGAAUGGAUGCAGUUUGAAAAUGAUCACACUUGUAAAGUUUGGGACUUAUAGACUUCUUGUUCUGAUGUCACGUCCUUGUUCACCAAACAGCUAGCACUCUAGCUUGCAUGGGUGUUGCAUUGACUUUAAUUUAUUGAAAAAUACAAAUUUUUGUAAAUAUCAGAUCAGUGAUACUGGUGUUAGUGUUGUAAUCAGGUUAAACCCACUUCCAUUAAACUUGACAGGACUAUAGAAGGAUAAUAUUUUUUAGUUCAUGAAUUCUACUUUUCAAAUAUAUAAAAGCUGCAGGUGGGGAUAAAAUCUCAUACAUGGAUUUUUUCGUGUCCGCUGUCUUGUGUACUUUUGUACUUAACCUUGUACAGUUAUUUUCAUCUCUUGAAACAUGAAAGAAAUGUUAUGUAGAUGUUCUUUAGAAGAUCUGGCCAUUUGGUACAUAAUCCAGCACAGAUAAGCUGGGUGGUAAUGAUAAUAAAAAUGGUUUUCUCAAAACUGGUGUUAAUUUAAGUUACCUGGGAUGUUUCUUUGAAUUUGUUUUAUAGUUUCUGUAGCAUUUGGCAAUUGCUGUUAGAAAACACUAGCUAGAAAUCCCCUCCCCACCACCCUUUUUAAGGCCAGUUAACUAUACUACAGUCAAUACCGUGGUGAGCAAAAAUGUAAAAGGUGGAAGGAGAAAACUUACUAAAAUAGUAUGUUUUCCUAUUAUAAGGGACAGACUUGGUAUUCAGUAUUUGUCAAAUAUUACAUGUGUUAUUCAGGAGAUAGAUUAAUGCAUUAAAGGGAUGUAAGCACUUUUAUUUUAAUAAAGUGCCUUAUAACAAGUUCUUUGCAUGCUUUUUGCUCAUUAUCCCUUUGAAGUCUUCUCCAGCAUAGACUAUAAAAUAUUAAAAUAUUAGAAAUUUUUUUUGUUUGUUUUUUUGAGACAGGAUCUUGCUCUGUUGCCUAAACUGGGUGCAGUGGCACAAUCUCGGCUCACUGCCAGAGCCUCUGCCCCCCAGGUUCAAGCAAUUCUCCCACCUCCACCUCCCAUGUAACUGGGAUUACAGGCGUACCACCGCACCCAGCUAAUUUUUGUAUUUUUAGUAGAGGUGGGGUUUUACCAUGUUGGCCAGGCUGGUCCUGAACUCCUGACCUCAGGUGAUCCACCCUCCUCAGCCUCCCAAAGUGCCGGGAUUAUAGGCGUGAGCCACUGCAGCCAGCCUAGAAAAUGUUUUGUUACUAGAUUGAACAUAAAUCUGGAGCCAAGGGGUGGGGGGGGCCUGCAAAACUUGAAGUUAAUUUACUUCAGUUACAGCAAAGUAAUAAGGUUUGGCUUUCCUUUGAAAAAUCCUUUGGAAAACAUCACAGAAUGAGAGCACAUUACAAUCAGGGAAGACUACAGGAAUAAGAUUGACAGCCUUAUUUUAAAAGCUGGAAUUAAGUCUUGCCAACUUGCUCAUUAGGUAUUUUUUUUAUACAUGAAAAUGAAGUAAUGGGGUGUUUUCUUUUUUUUUGCUUUCUGUCCUAGGCUGGAGUGCAGUGCAUUGCAGCAGGCUCCCCCAGGCUCAAGCAGUCCUCCCACCUCAGCCUCUUGAGUACCUGGGACCACAGGUGCUCACCAACACACCUAGCUUGUUUUUAAUUUUUUAUAAAGACAAGGUCUUGUUACGUUGCCCAGGUUGGUCUUGAAUUCCUGGCCUCAAGCAAUCCUCCCACCUCAGGGCUCCCAAAGUGAUGGGGUUACAGGUGUGAUCCACUUCACCUAGCCAGAUUGUAAGAUUUUUAAUGUACUUUAAUAAACCUUUCAUUUUCCCAGAGCACAGAAAUUCUAUGGCAAAAUGGCUUUUCACCGUGUUUCAGUGACAAAUCUAAGCCUUCUAAGGAAAUGACACUAUGGAUCCUUCAUUUCGUGAUCAUCAACAUUUUUCAAUUAAGCUCUGCCUUUUUAAAUCAAUCUUAUUAAAAAUGUUCAUGACCUUCUAAGGCAGUGUGGACGCAAAAGCUUCCUGUGUGUCUACAGUUAUUUUAGGAGCUGACCAUACAUGAUGAGUGAUACAGCCUGUACUUUGCUCAUCUAGAGCAGCACUGUCCAAUAAAAUAUGUGUGUAUAUGUA